ACUGCCCUAGGUUUUGUUGUUCUUGCAUGGUUUGUUGUUCCACAUGUUGGCAAGGUAUCUACCCCUCAAAGCUUCACUCCUAUUUUCUGUGUUUGCUGUGGCAUUCGAAAGUUAAAACUUGAUGCCACUCUUUUGGACAGGAUCGUUCAAAAUUCUUCUUAUUUUAGUUUGCAAGCUCAGAUAGACAAACCUUAUAUUUGUGUUCAACAUAAUAGUGGAGAUAAUGUAAAAAACUGGCAAUACGGCCCUAACUAUGUUAUUGUUGACUCCUAUGAAAUGUAUGGAUAUGGUGACAUGCUUUAAGAAUUUUUGUUAAUCAUUUGCGGUAGACUCGAUCUUAGCAUCUGAACUUUGUGCAAUUGUGCAGCAAACUUCUGGAAAUUCAAAGAAAAGAUGGUGUAAAAAAACCUAUAUUGGAUGAUAAUCAAGUUGCUCACGUUCUGGACUACUUUGUUCCCUUCAUCAGCCUGAUUACUCAAUUUCUUGUCUCUUUUACCAGUCAGAUAAUCAAAUGGAGGAAUUGUGCCAACAUCAAGGUCAAUUAAUUUGCUUUACACAUGUGCAUUAUGAAUGGAACAUUGCUAACUAUACUGUAGCUGGUAAUAGCAUCUUCAAAUUUGUAAAGUUUGCCAGCAUAUUGGUUACAGUAAUUUCCUCCUGUAAAAAUAACCCUGAGUAAUAUGUAUGAACCCGUGACUAGAUGAGCUUGACAAACUGCUACCAUUGGCUGGAGCAGCUAUUCGGAGUAUUGCAGUGUAUAUUUCCUUCUAAUAGCUCGCUGGUUUGACUAGAAUUUUGAUAAAACAGUAGCAAUUCUUCUCGUAAAAUAUGACUAUCAAGAUGUGUAUAGUUCAUUAAGUUGACAAUCAGUAGGAAAUUCUACCAAGAUAAUUAACUUAUUGUCAGGGUACUCUGCUUUGAGAGGUAUGUAGUAAAUAUUGGCUCUUUGCUGUUGAAAUGGACAAUCUGAAAUACAGGUGAAAGCUUUCUUCUUCUGUAGCAUGAAAUGAAAGUUAUAUCUUUUUUAUUAUGUUUUAAAAAUUGCAAUACGUGGGAGAUGGAUGUGAAGUUGAGCCAGGUGACAAGAGGGGCACUGUAAAAUUUGUUGGCCAAGUUGAACCCCUUGGACAUGGAUUUUGGGUUGGAGUGCAAUACCAUGAGCCACUCGGAAAGCACGAUGGCAUGGUGAAAGGCGUCCGCUUCUAUGUGUGCCCUCAAGGGCAUGGAGCAAUUGUCCAGCCAGAGAAAGUAAAGCAUUAUUUGACAGUGUACUAUAUGUCACCCUUUGCCACCAUGACACUAGCUCUACCAGCAAUAUUGCUCGAAGGAGGCGUUGUAAUCAACUUGUUCUACACUCACGACCCCAUCUUUUCUAUGCUGAUUAUCAUCCUCGGCUCAGGGGUGCUCAACUUCUCCAUCUUCGACGUGAUCUGUUCAACCACAGGGUGCCCUUCAAUGUUACUGGCAAUCUUCAAAAGCUGAAUUCCAAGUUUCCCCAGAUGGUGUCUUGUGUCAACUUCAUACGAUCUUCCAUCAGAGCUUACGGUGCAAUCUGCAUGGUCAAAGCGAAGCCAUUGAUCAAGUCGAGUCCAAGGACCAUUGGAAGAGGAUUUCCCCCAUGCCAUUUGGCGUUCUACAAGAACAUUGUGCUCGGAAAUGACACUCCGGCCUCCUUCACUCCUGCAACCACAUGUACCAUGGCAUCAUCGUGCGCUUCUUACUACCACAUGUUUCCUGUAAAAAAUAAGUAGUAGAGUUGUGGUGUUGCUGCCUAUAACAUCUUUUCUGAUUCAGUGUGAUGCACUUGUUCUGCAGUGGUUAGUUUGGAGUAAGCAUUUUGAGUGGUGGGAUACUGACAGUGCUUAGUUUCAACAGUUUUGGUUUCUGUUCUACCAUGGUUGGCUGCCUCGCCAUGUGUACGAAUUCCAUAUUGGCAGAGUCCUUCAUGGGUGCACAUUUGACAGGUACAUGCACUGGUGCUUUAGCGGCUGGUGUGGUCUGGCAUAUACGUACAAUGUUAAAGCAUUUUAUAGGAUCGUCUUUCUUUCUAAAAUUAUUAGUUUCCUUUCGAGUUCGAGGGUCAAAAGAUUUAGUUAUUGCUGUAAUGUUACUGCCAAAUUCAAUCUUUUAAUCUCUUGACUCGGUAAGAUAAUUUAUUAUGUGUUUUCCUUAUCUGCAACAUUAACAUGGCACCCUUUGCCGCCAUCAUACUGACUCUGCACACAUGACUCGAUCUUGUCUGUGCCGAUUAUCAUCCUAGACUCAGGGGUGCUUGCCUUUGGCCUCAACUUGUCCAUCUUCCACGUGAUCCAAUCAACCACCGCAGUGAACUUGAAUGUUGCUGGCAACCAUAAAGUUGCUGUUGCGGUAUCGGUCUCAUGGUUGACCUUCCGGAAACCCAAUGAAUGCAAUUUGGUGCGCAAUCAUGCUCGUCGGCUGUACUUUCUCCCAACAGCCCCCGAGGAGCCAAGGAACGAAACCUUGGCCACUUCCCAUAGUUAGCUAAACAGGAAUGUAAAGUAAACCUAGAAUGGCAUAUACGCUAUGUGAUUUGACUAUGCCGGUUUUGAAUUGUACAACAACCUAUAACUGAGAGGAUCCGUGUAUUUUGGACCUCACUUACUCCAAAAGUCUGUGUAGACUUGGUAGAAAUUAACAAGUGACACUCAUUGUAUGUACACUGCUUGGAAAAUACAGUAGCUAAAAAGAAGUCAGAGGAUGAGCUGGAUAACAGAACUGCGAGAGAAGUUCAUCAGUGAACAGAGCAUGCCUGCCUCGGCUUUGUCCUGGUUGAGAGAUUUUUUAUUUUUAUUUUUGCCCCACUGUUGUUUGGGCACUUUGGUUGUGUGGAUUUGGUAGAGGAUGCUGCCUUCACCACCUGUGGCGGCGCGAUGGUCAUUACAUUAGGUGGGUGGCGCGGAUAGGUCACGACCUGACAAGCACAGACAUCGAGUGAUGUUAUUUCCAUUGAUCUAUGGAACAAUGGGCUUGUUACUAAUAAAUAACUAGUAGAAUGCCCGUGCGUUAUUACGAGCUCAUAACAUGAUCAUGACGUAAGAAUUUAAUAAAGGUAGAAUGAAAUGGUUGAUUUUAAUAACAGGCUCAGAAAAGAGGAUGAUAUCUUGAUUAAUACUUUUCUUUGGUUUAUGGUGCAUAUAAGAUAUCAGUGCGUUGCUAUGGGUUUAAGCAAUAUUUAAAAAGUGAUGGCGUGUGACUGAU